UCGGCCAGAAGAUCAAGGGGUUCAGUCCACC
rnacentral:piRNA from 1 species